UCUAACUGUAAGCGAUGGGUCAAAGCUCUAAAUCCAUGAUUCUUUUUGUACUUCAGAAACCCUUUUUUCUUUUCCCUUUUGUUUCUAAACAAAGGAAAAAAAAUGUUACGAUGAAUCAUCUUUUCUAACUUUUUGCCUCUGCUUUCUUUGCUUCUUAACUAAUAGACUUCUAUGGGUGUUUAAAAUUUGUUGUUUUUUUUCUUAUUGUAAAAGAAAAAGAAAAAACCUGCAGCUCAACUGAAACAAUUUCAAGAGCAACAUAAAGGAAAAGAUUUGGCUUCAAGCAUCACAUAAAAUGGAUCUGCCACUACCUCAGCCUCCAAUGGAAUCGUUGGCAAGGCGUUACAAGUUUCUCUCUUCUCUUCUCUUGGCUAUCAGCUUUACUGUUUGAGCUUACCUUCUCAUGAGAACAAAGAAAAAGGAUGCAAGUAUAACAGAAGAAAUUGCUGGUUCAACGUCUGUUUCAAGUUCAACUACAACUGGUACUGCUCCUCCAGUUAUGGACAACCUUAGACCGAUGAUUCCUGAGAACCUGCAGCAAAGGAAUGUGAAACUAAAAGCUCCAGUGGAGAAGCAGCCUCGAUGAAGAGAAAGCUAUACUUGAAGCAAUCGAUUCUAGUAAAAUCCAUUCCUAAGAUAUGACAGUUAGCCUUUACUUUGAUUUUAACUCUUCAAAGGUUUUUGGUUUCCUUAACAUGUUGGUUUAGUGAAAUCUGAAAGAAAUUGUUUUCUUAAGAUCUACAUUGUAGAUACAAUUAUUUCCCUGUAAAAGGGAAAUGUUUAUGACAUUAUUGCUCCACUGUGCCAACCUUACUUAAAUCUGCAAUGCAUAAUUGGAGAUUACUUUUGGAGUUUUGAGACUGCAGUUAAACCAUCAUCAGCUGGCGUCCACCUGCAGGCUUUGAACUUGGAAGAGCAGUUUAAGACUCGAGAAUGGUCUGUGUGAUUGACAGUGACCUAUAUAUAUAUCAUUCAACUUAAUGGCCUGUCUGAGUUGAAAUAAACAAAGAAUAUAAAUUGUUUUGUAAUAAUCUUCAACUGCACCGUUGCCUAUAGAUUACUUGUAAAAGGAGUGAUAACUCUAAUAUCUUUGUUUCUUA